rnacentral:misc_RNA from 1 species
AUAUUUUGAAUUAAGUUAUUCAUAAUAAUAAUUUUUUUUCAGACAAAUGGCAAUUAAAAAUAAGAGUUGAAUAGUUAAAGAGAAGCGGAGGAAGAGAGAACCCUUCCAACCCCUUCAAAAAAACAUUGCACACAAGGUGGAUAUGGAUUGUUUAAAAAGUGCCAUAAACACUUUUAUUAUGAAUGAUCCUUCCGCAGGUUCACCUACGGAAA